rnacentral:rRNA from 1 species
UACGUAGGUGGCAAGCGUUGUCCGGAUUUAUUGGGUUUAAAGGGUGCGUAGGCGGCCCUGUAAGUCAGUAGUGAAAUAUCUCAGCUUAACUGAGAAGGUGCUAUUGAUACUGCAGGGCUAGAGUAUUGAUGAGGUAGGCGGAAUGGACGGUGUAGCGGUGAAAUGCAUAGAUAUCGUCCAGAACACCGAUAGCGAAGGCAGCUUACUAAACAAUAACUGACGCUGAGGCACGAAAGUGUGGGGAUCAAACAGG